CCCUUAGAUGUUCUGGGCCGCACGCGCGCUACACUGAUGCAUUCAACGAGUCUAAAACCUGCUCUGAUAGGGGUGGGUAAUCUUUUGAAUGUGCAUCGUGAUUGGGAUAGAUGAUUGAAAUUUUUCAUCUUCAACGAGGAAUGCCUAGUAAACGCAAGUCAUCAGCUUGCAUUGAUUACGUCCCUGCCCUUUGUACACACCGCCCGUCGCUCCUACCGAUUGAGUGGCCCGGUGAGGCUUUGGGAUCUGAGCGGAAAGAGCGUUUCGCUGUUUCUGCUCGGAAAACUCAGUCGAACCUUAUCAUUUAGAGGAAGGAGAAGUCGUAACA
rnacentral:rRNA from 1 species